GACGAACGCUGGCGGCGUGCCUAAUACAUGCAAGUAGAACGCAGUUGCGAACGGGUGAGUAACGCGUAGGUAACUGCCUCAUCGCGGGGGAUAACUAUUGGAAACGAUAGCUAAUACCGCAUACUGUGAGAUGUACCUGCGUUGUAUUAGCUAGUUGGUGGGGUAAAGGCGCACCAAGGCGACGAUACAUAGCCGACCUGAGAGGGUGCACGGCCAGAAUGAGAAAGGGACACGACACAAACUCAAACAGGUUGCAGCGGUAGGGAAUCUUCGGCAAUGGACAGAAGUCUGACCGAGCAACGCCGCGUGGGUGAAGAAGGUUAUCAGAACGGAAAGCUCUGUUGAGAGAUAAGCAGGAACUAACCAGAAAGGGUCGGCUAACUAAGUGCCAGCAGCCGCGGUAAUUG
rnacentral:rRNA from 1 species